UGGAAUCGCUAGUAAUCGUAGAUCAGCAUGCUACGGUGAAUACGUUCCCGGGUCUUGUACACACCGCCCGUCACACCACGAGAGUUUGUAACACCCGAAGCCGGUGGAGUAACCUUUUAGGAGCUAGCCGUCGAAGGUGGGACAAAUGAUUGGGGUGAAGUCGUAACAAGGUAGCCGUAUCGGAAGGGGCGGCUGGAUCACCUCCUUUCUAAGGA
rnacentral:rRNA from 1 species